rnacentral:rRNA from 1 species
AAAUAUUGGGACAUAUAAAAAAAAGAAAAAAAAGAAUAGGUGCACUUGAGUAUAACAAUGGCUGGGUGAGGCCAGUAUAAAUGUCUAUUCUGCACAAGGUACAGACAAGUCUGGUGGUAUCCAUGCCUGGUUCAUUUUAAUAAAUGUGAGCUUGUCCACGUUGGCUGUGGACAGGCGGCUGCGCUUGUCUGUGAUAACCUCAUGCCAAUUGCACUUCCCCGUGACAGCGACAACGCAUUCGGAUGUCUGCCCUAUCAACUUUCGAUGCUAUUUUCCGCAGCUACCAUGGUGACCAUGGGUAACAGGGAAUCAGGGUUCAAUUCCAGAGAGGGAUCCUGAGAAACGGCUACCACGUGCAAGGAAGGCAGUAGGCGUGCAAACUACCCACUCCCGACGCGGGGAGGUAGUGAC